rnacentral:rRNA from 1 species
AUUGAACGCUGGCGGCAUGCCUUACACAUGCAAGUCGAACGGUAACGCGGGGCAACCUGGCGACGAGUGGCGAACGGGUGAGUAAUGUAUCGGAACGUGCCCAGUUGUGGGGGAUAACUGCUCGAAAGAGCAGCUAAUACCGCAUACGACCUGAGGGUGAAAGCGGGGGAUCGCAAGACCUCGCGCAAUUGGAGCGGCCGAUAUCAGAUUAGGUAGUUGGUGGGGUAAAGGCCCACCAAGCCAACGAUCUGUAGCUGGUCUGAGAGGACGACCAGCCACACUGGGACUGAGACACGGCCCAGACUCCUACGGGAGGCAGCAGUGGGGAAUUUUGGACAAUGGACGUAAGUCUGAUCCAGCCAUGCCGCGUGCGGGAAGAAGGCCUUCGGGUUGUAAACCGCUUUUGUCAGGGAAGAAAAGGGCGACUCUAAUACAGUUGCCUCAUGACGGUACCUGAAGAAUAAGCACCGGCUAACUACGUGCCAGCCGCCGCUGUAAUAC